rnacentral:rRNA from 1 species
UACAGAGGUCUCAAGCGUUGUUCGGAUUCAUUGGGCGUAAAGGGUGCGUAGGUGGCUAGGUUAGUCAGGUGUGAAAUCUCGGGGCUCAACCCCGAAACUGCACUUGAUACUGCCUUGCUAGAGUACUGGAGAGGAGAUUGGAAUUUACGGUGUAGCAGUGAAAUGCGUAGAUAUCGUAAGGAAGACCAGUGGCGAAGGCGAAUCUCUGGACAGUUACUGACACUGAGGCACGAAGGCCAGGGGAGCAAACGGG